GCUGUGGCCUAGUGUUUGAUAAUUACAUUGUGUGUGGUGGUGGGUCCACUGCAGAGACAGAGAUGUUUUGAUGUUAUGAGCAUCAGUUUCUGCUCUCAGCUUUCAUGUUAGCAGAGUUUAACCAGUAUAAAACCUGUUAGAGGAUCAUCAAUUGGGUUUGCCUUAGUUUGACUUUGUUCUGUUGUAAGUCUGAGCUGAUAUUUUUUCUUUAACGUUGGGGUCUGAAGAAAAAACAGUAUGUGUAGAAGUGUGUUUCGGUUUGCACCACUUCUGUUUCUGUUGGGGAUGUACACCGCCAGUGAAGUGACCCUACUGAAAACAUUGGAGAUCGGAGGAACAGAUGUCACUCACAUUUGCCAAAAUCAUACAAUGUCUGAUAUGUUGUUGAUAACAUGUAAAAGAAAUGGGGAGCACAAGUGUCACAUCUCAUUACGGUUUGACAAAAAUUAUACAAAUAGCACUUGUGACUCCAGGGUCAAUCUACAGAAUGAUGGUGGCAGAGUGUUUCUACACAUCACUAACAUACAACCAUCAGAUGAAGGGUUUUACAACUACUAUCACAGUCUUUACCCCACUCAGACGAUAACAGGCAUCACAGUAUUUAUAGCUGUAGUGAUCUUCACUGCCAUAAUCAUGAGGAAAGUUCAACUCAGGAGGGGAACUCAGACAAAGCUGCUUUACCCCUCCAACGAGACAAAGGUGGAGGAGCAGCAACCAGACAUCGAGCCCUACGACACAUUCAUGAAGAGAGACAACACGGUUUACUCAACCCUUCAGCAGCCAGAUCCUAACCCCUGACCCUGACUUACUGGCACUGUUGACCAAUGACAACAUGCUAAAGCAUGUAGUGGGUUGAAUGUUAUUUCACCAGCCCUGGAAAUGCCUGCAGCCAUACAUUAUAGAUGUAGUUGUUUUGUUCAACACUAGAACCGCCACGGGGUAAAUUAUACUUGUGAAUUUUCUUUGUACAUAACUAAGUUUGAAUAAAAUAUUGAGGUCUUCCAGCCUUUGACUUUUACUAAAAAAUAUGGGCAUUUAUACCUAUAACCGCCACAGGGUAAAUUUUACCCGUAUA
ensembl:lncRNA